rnacentral:rRNA from 1 species
UACAGAGGUCCCAAGCGUUGUUCGGAUUCACUGGGCGUAAAGGGUGCGUAGGUGGUGAGGUAAGUCGGAUGUGAAAGCUCCGAGCUCAACUCGGAAAUGGCAUUGGAAACUACCUUGCUAGAGGGUUUGAGGGGGGACUGGAAUACUUGGUGUAGCAGUGAAACGCGUAGAUAUCAAGUGGAACACCAGUGGCGAAGGCGAGUCCCUGGAAAACUCCUGACACUGAGGCACGAAAGCUAGGGGAGCAAACAGG